rnacentral:lncRNA from 1 species
AUUGCUCUAAUUAUCCCAUUGUUGUAGACGCCUUAUAUGUUGUAGACAUAUGGCGAGUCUGGACACGCACCGGGCGGGCUUCCGCUCGGUCCCGGGGCGUGACAUAUGUGAAUUCGAAGACUUCGUUAAAAUAAUUCGUUGAGCAAUAUGAAAGCGCUAUAAAGGAUAGAGCUGAAAUGAAGCAAAAUUAGACUACAAAUCAUUCAGCUUAGUUAUCCCAAGUAUCAGCCAUGUAACACACUGG